rnacentral:rRNA from 1 species
AAGCUUGACGGUACCCAAGAAGAAAGCCCCGGCUAACUACGUGCCAGCAGCCGCGGUAAUACGUAGGGGGCGAGCGUUGUCCGGAAUUACUGGGCGUAAAGGGUGCGUAGGCGGCCCUUUAAGUCGGAUGUGAAAGCCCGCGGCUUAACCGCGGAAUGGCAUUCGAAACUGGAGGGCUUGAGUGUCGGAGAGGGUAGUGGAAUUCCCAGUGUAGCGGUGAAAUGMGUAGAUAUUGGGAGGAACACCAGUGGCGAAGGCGACUACCCGGACGAUAACUGACGCUGAGGCACGAAAKYCUAGUGGUUCAAACAGGAUUAGAUACCCUGGUAGUCCUAGCCCUAA